CAGUAGCCGCGGUAAUACGUAGGUGGCAAGCGUUGUCCGGAAUUAUUGGGCGUAAAGCGUCUGUAGGUGGCUUUUCAAGUCCGCCGUCAAAUCCCAGGGCUCAACCCUGGACAGGCGGUGGAAACUACCAAGCUGGAGUACGGUAGGGGCAGGCGGAAUUCCUAGUGUAGCGGUGAAAUGCGUAGAUAUUAGGAAGAACACCGGUGGCGAAGGCGGCCUGCUGGACGAAAACUGACGUUGAGGCUCGAAGACGUGGGGAGCAAACAGGAUUAGAUACCCCAGUAGUCCCUGUCUCUUAUAC
rnacentral:rRNA from 1 species